GACGAACGCUGGCGGCGUGCUUAACACAUGCAAGUCGAACGGAAAGGCCCUGCUUUUGUGGGGUGCUCGAGUGGCGAACGGGUGAGUAACACGUGAGUAACCUGCCCUUGACUUUGGGAUAACUUCAGGAAACUGGGGCUAAUACCGGAUAGGAGCUCCUGCUGCAUGGUGGGGGUUGGAAAGUUUCGGCGGUUGGGGAUGGACUCGCGGCUUAUCAGCUUGUUGGUGGGGUAGUGGCUUACCAAGGCUUUGACGGGUAGCCGGCCUGAGAGGGUGACCGGCCACAUUGGGACUGAGAUACGGCCCAGACUCCUACGGGAGGCAGCAGUGGGGAAUAUUGCACAAUGGGCGGAAGCCUGAUGCAGCAACGCCGCGUGCGGGAUGACGGCCUUCGGGUUGUAAACCGCUUUCGCCUGUGACGAAGCGUGAGUGACGGUAAUGGGUAAAGAAGCACCGGCUAACUACGUGCCAGCAGCCGCGGUGAUACGUAGGGUGCGAGCGUUGUCCGCAUUUAUUGGGCGUAAAGGGCUCGUAGGUGGUUGAUCGCGUCGGAAGUGUAAUCUUGGGGCUUAACCCUGAGCGUGCUUUCGAUACGGGUUGACUUGAGGAAGGUAGGGGAGAAUGGAAUUCCUGGUGGAGCGGUGGAAUGCGCAGAUAUCAGGAGGAACACCAGUGGCGAAGGCGGUUCUCUGGGCCUUUCCUGACGCUGAGGAGCGAAAGCGUGGGGAGCGAACAGGCUUAGAUACCCUGGUAGUCCACGCUGUAAACGGUGGGUACUAGGUGUGGGGUCCAUUCCACGGGUUCCGUGCCGUAGCUAACGCUUUAAGUACCCCGCCUGGGGAGUACGGCCGCAAGGCUAAAACUCAAAGGAAUUGACGGGGCCCCGCACAAGCGGCGGAGCAUGCGGAUUAAUUCGAUGCAACGCGUAGAACCUUACCUGGGUUUGACAUGGAUCGGGAGUGCUCAGAGAUGGGUGUGCCUCUUUUGGGGUCGGUUCACAGGUGGUGCAUGCCUGUCGUCAGCUCGUGUCGUGAGAUGUUGGGUUAAGUCCCGCAACGAGCGCAACCCUUGUUCACUGUUGCCAGCACGUUAUGGUGGGGACUCAGUGGAGACCGCCGGGGUCAACUCGGAGGAAGGUGGGGAUGACGUCAAGUCCUCAUGCCCCUUAUGUCCAGGGCUUCACGCAUGCUACAAUGGCUGGUACAGAGAGUGGCGAGCCUGUGAGGGUGAGCGAAUCUCGGAAAGCCGGUCUCAGUUCGGAUUGGGGUCUGCAACUCGACCUCAUGAAGUCGGAGUCGCUAGUAAUCGCAGAUCAGCAACGCUGCGGUGAAUACGUUCCCGGG
rnacentral:rRNA from 1 species